rnacentral:rRNA from 1 species
AUGCACGCUGGCGGCGUGCCUAAUACAUGCAAGUCGAGCGAACAGAUAAGGAGCUUGCUCCUUUGAAGUUAGCGGCGGACGGGUGAGUAACACGUGGGUAACCUACCUAUAAGACUGGGAUAACUUCGGGAAACCGGAGCUAAUACCGGAUAACAUUUAGAACCGCAUGGUUCUAAAGUGAAAGAUGGUUUUGCUAUCACUUAUAGAUGGACCCGCGCCGUAUUAGCUAGUUGGUAAGGUAACGGCUUACCAAGGCGACGAUACGUAGCCGACCUGAGAGGGUGAUCGGCCACACUGGAACUGAGACACGGUCCAGACUCCUACGGGAGGCAGCAGUAGGGAAUCUUCCGCAAUGGGCGAAAGCCUGACGGAGCAACGCCGCGUGAGUGAUGAAGGGUUUCGGCUCGUAAAACUCUGUUAUUAGGGAAGAACAAAUGUGUAAGUAACUGUGCACAUCUUGACGGUACCUAAUCAGAAAGCCACGGCUAACUACGUG